AGUAGCUAUAAAUAAGCAAGUCCAUAGCCUCAGCAAAUUACGCAGCCACGCGGUGAGCACAGAGCGAACUAUUCUUUCGCCUUUUACUAAAGAAUACCGUGUGCUCGCCGCAAAUAGUGGCAUACGCCUAUUUUUGGAGGGGUUUCUCUAAGUAGAAGCCCCUACAUAUCUUGAGUCUGAAAAGUAGUACGGUCUCGUGAUGUAGAUUAGACAUUAGCAAUGAAGUCUGAUGUCAUAUGAAAGAAAUAGGACACCUGACGUUCUGAGUGUCUAUCAUUUGUACUGUGAAGGAUGUCCUUGUCCUGAGCUAUUGUGGAUGAGUCGUGCCUAUAUUUGUAUCUCCAGAAAGAGCCUUUAGCCUUUUGAAGAAGCAGAACUUCCAAGUUUGUCAUCCUCCCUGACUAAAACCUUUAAAAUAAUGAAGGUUGUAUUGAAUGUCCAAAUUUAAUUCGAGUGUGAAAUUGUGGAUUAUAAUGAUAUUAGCUUUCACAUAAAUCUUUUUUUCUGCAUUUUCUACCCAGUUAUGUAUCAUUGGAGUGGAGUCCCAUACUGACUUCGUUACAAAAUGACACAAGCAAGAGAAAACACUAAUAAAAUGGAAAGGUCACUUGGGAGCAGAAUUCAUGAAGCCAUGCAGAAUUGACAUGCCUCAUAGUUCAUGACCAGGAACUUGUAUGUAGAAAGCUAGGCCAAUGGUUGGCUCUUAUGAGAAACGCCUUAGAGAUUAUUAAUAACUGCUCGCUAAGUGAAGGCCUUUUAGGUACACUUUCUGGAAAAUAUGAUGCUUGAAAUUGGAGCUUGCAACUGAAAAAGAUACUGGAAAACGGCAAUGGCUUACUUCCAAGACUCUUAUUGGUUUAAGAUUGGUCAUUGAAGGGAUCUAACAUCACAAUCUUUCUAAGGCAUUGUGCUCCUACUUGAUUGAAAUCCAUGAGCCUUUUUGGACUCAGUCUGUCUUCUAUCUCUCUCUAUCUAGAAAAGCUAACAUUUUUCGAGAUAUUCAAAGUUCAGUUUACUUCAGUUAAAUUGAUGAUUGUUUAUAACCAAUCCAACUUUAAUCAACAAAGGUUUGAAAUAGAUUAAAGUCCCACAUAGGGAUGUGACAAAAUGGUACAAGCAAGAAACCUGCUAUAGAAACGGAAGUCACCAGUCGGUACAAUUCACGGAGCCAUGCAGUGAGCACAGAGCGAACUAUUCUUUCGCCUUUUACUAAAGAAUACCGUGUGCUCGCUGCAUAUAGUGGCAUACACCAAUUUUUGAAGGCGUUUCUCUCGAGAGAAGCUCCUGCAUUUCUAGUUUGAAAGUUAUGAAAAAGUUCUGUUAUAAGUUCCCAAGAUAAUUGAACAUAACUGAACAUUUUUUUUUUAUUUGCAAUAUUGAAGGGAAUUUUAACAAUACAAUCUUCUUAACCUGAGAAAAAAAAUUCUUAGUUCUCAUUUGUGUCAUUGUUCUCAAUCAAUCCACAAAGCGCUUUUAUGCUUUUGUGGAAAAGUAAAUUUUUGACCAAGUUUGUAAUCUCCCUCUUUUUAUAUCUGACAUUUUUAAAGAGAUUCAAAGUCCAAU